GACGAACGUUGGCGGCGUGCUUAAUACAUGCAAGUCAACUGAAGCAGUGGUAGCAAUAUCGCUGUGGAGGUGGCGCACGGGUGAGUAACACGUAGGUAAUCUGCCUUCAGGUCUGGCAUAACUCCGGGAAACCGGGGCUAAUAGCAGAUGAUGCAGCGGCUCGACAUCGAGACAGUUGUUAAAGCUAUGGCGCCUGAAGAUGAGCCUGCGUCUGAUUAGCUAGUUGGCGGGGUAACGGCCCACCAAGGCAACGAUCAGUAGCUGGUCUGAGAGGAUGAUCAGGCACACUGGAACUGAGACACGGUCCAGACUCCUACGGGAGGCAGCAGUAAGGAAUAUUGCUCAAUGGGAGAAAUCCUGAAGCAGCAACGCCGCGUGAGGGACGAAGGGCUUUAGCUUGUAAACCUCUGUAGUGAGAGAAAAAAAUCCCAAUCUUUGGGACAUGAUGGUAUCUCAAAAGUAAGCCCCGGCUAACUACGUG
rnacentral:rRNA from 1 species